rnacentral:lncRNA from 1 species
GUUGGAAGGAACAUCACAGAUCAUCUGGUUUCAACCCCCUGCCAUGGACUGGGAUGCCUUCUGCCAGCCCAGAUUGGCUGUUUGCCAUGUGGGAAGUGCAGGCUUUUGCUGAGACUUGGGUAAUGACAGUCUCAUCUGAGAGAUGCCAAGAGUCACUGACCUUCCAUCAAUCAGCACACAGCAGUUUCUCAUUCUUUAGAGUGGAUAUUAAGAUUUGCAAAUAGAAAUUAAAUCCCUCCAGGGGAUUCUCUCCAAGAAGAGAAUGGUGGCUGCUAGAAAGCCAAGUACUACAUAUAGCUAUCCUUAUGAUUUUGAUGGACCUCAGCAUUUGAGUGGGAAGUAGCUGCUUAUCUCAUUUUGUAAGGAAAAAUAAAGCACUUUUUUAAAUAAAGC